rnacentral:RNase_P_RNA from 1 species
AGAGUCGUCUGGAUCAUCGCGUUAUUACUUGUAAUACCGAGGAAAGUCCGGACUCCAAAGAGCAAGGUGAUGGCUAACGGCCAUCCGGAGAAAUCCGCGGGAUUAGUGCCACAGAAAAUAAACCGCCAAGAAAUUGGUAAGGAUGAAACGGUGGUGUAAGAGACCACCAGCAUUUACGGCAACGUAUAUGGCUAGGUAAACCCCACCUGGAGCAAGACCAGAUUGUUAGCGUUUGAGAGCUGCUCGCUCGAGUUAAC